ACUCGUAACGGUGGAUGUCUCGGUUCCUACAUCGAUGAAGAACGUAGCAAACUGCGAAACGUAAUGCGAAUUGCAGAUCUCGUGAAUCAUCAAAUCUUUGAACGCAAGUUGCGCUCGCGGUAACCUGUGAGCAUGUCUGCUUGAGUGUCCGCACAAAUCCGAUUUUGGCAUUCCGCAACUGUUGAGAAAUAAUUAUUUUUUCCGGUUGCUAAGAGUGCCGCUGAUGGGUGCGUCGUGUUGAUUUUUUUUCUGUUGAUUCAGAAAAAUUGAUGCGGUCACCUGGAAAAGAGAUGGGGCGAUUCUCAAAAAUCAGGUUUUCUGGUUUUCGUCGCGCGUUUCACGACAGAGUAGCGGGUUUCUGUUUUCUGAGCAGGGAAAAAAGUAUUUUUCCGAUCACUGCGGAUGGAUGGUUUCGGCUGUCUGUUUCUGUUGGGGGUCGACGUAGUAUUUUUUUUUCGGCGACGGAAAUGGAUCGUGAAAAAUCGUGUUGUGCGCGGUGCAAUAAUCGAAAAACUGGUUUCGUCGUUUUUGUACGAAAGAAUACCGUUGUGGGCUGGUCGAAGAUAGUUUUCUGAGCAACGGCUUUUUGGCCGCUGCGCUUGCAGAAGAUACUUUUCCGGUCGCUGCGAAUUGAUGGUUUCGACUUUCUGUUCUGUGGCGGGUGACGUAGUAUUUUUUUUGCGAGAUGGAAAAUGUUCUCCCUGUUCCAAAAUUCGGGAAAAUCGUGCGUGUGCGAUGCAAAAAUUGAGAGUUGGCGCCCAGUUUUUUGCAGAGUUUUGUGAUAGAAACUCUGAAAACAAUCAUUUACUGGAUCUCAAGUCAGACAAGGCGACCCGCUGAAUUUAAGCAUAUAAUUAAGCGGAGGAAAAGAAACUAACCAGGAUUCCCUAGUAGCGGCGAGCGAAGCGGGAAAAGCCCAAUAUGAAAAGCCAGCUUGCUGGCGUUGUAGUUUGAGCGGCUGCAGCUGUCAGUCUGGGAAAGUGGCAUGGAAAUGUCCACCGUGGAGGGUGAGAGUCCCGUCCAUCCCAGUCAGGGCAGUUGGUACGUGGCCGUUUCAGUCGAGUCGGGUAGCUUGGGAAUGCUGCUCUAAUCGGUGGUAAAUCUCAUCGAAGGCUAAAUACUGGUAGGAAACCGAUAGCGCACAAGUACCGUGAGGGAAAGGUGAAAAGCACUUUGAAAAGAGGGUGACAAGAACCUGAAACCGUUACGAGGGAAGCGGAUUGCAUCGAGUUGAUGGGUGUUUGCGCUUUCAGCCGGAAAAUUUUUUUUGGUGGACUGGCGCAGACACUUACCCGUCGUGAGUUCUUGGCUGCCGAACCAACGGCGUGCCGAGGACUGUGGGAUCCCCUUUAUUGGGUGAGGACGAUGGGGCAGCGGUGCGAUACGACCGUCUUGAAACACGGACCAAGGAGUCUAGCGGUGCUGCGAGUCGAAGGGACGUUUAAUCCUUGUAGGCGCAGUGAAAGCGAAUUACCAUAAGAAAUUGUGCUAAUUUGAGGGGGCAUGAGGUCGUUGACCAAAAGUCCCACCUGGAGCAGUAGCGCUAGACCCGAAAGAUGGUGAACUAUGCUGAGUAGGGCGAAGCCAGAAGAAAUUCUGGUGGAGGCUCGUAGCGGUGCUGACGUGCAAAUCGCUCGUCGAACUUGGUAUAGGGGCGAAAGACUAAUCGAACCAUCUGGUAGCUGUUCCCCCCGAAGUUUCUCUCAGGAUAGCGGGCUGACAUGACGUUGUUUUGUGCGGUAAAGCGAAUGAUUAGCGCAUUUUGGGGGCGUGCAGCCUUCUGGCGAUUCUCAAACUUUAAAUGCGCAAGCUGGCGCCGCUGCUUAAUUGAGCGGUUUUAGCUAGAAAAAACGUCAGCCCCGUGGGCCACUUUUGGUGAAGCAGAACUGCGAUGCGGCAUGAACCGAAAGCGUAGUUAAGGCGUCAAAUUGUCCGCUUAUAGAUCCCACAAAAGGCGUUGGUUCAUCGAGACAGCAGGACGGUGGCCAUGGAAGUCGGAAUCCGCUAAGGAGUGUGUAACAACUCACUGCCGAAUGAGGUAGCCCUGAAAAUGGAUGACGCUUAAGCGGCAGCCGAUACUACGCCGUCGAUUUUAGUGAAAAACAAAUCGAUGAGUAGGGGGGCGUGGUGGUCGUGUCGAAGCAUUGCGUGCGAACGCGUGUGAAACGCCACUAGUGCAGAUCUUGGUGGUAGUAGCAAAUAUUCAAGUGAGAACCUUGAAGGGCGAAGCGGGGAAGGGUUCCAUGCGAACAUUGAUUGGGCAUGGGUGAGUCGUCCUAAGCCGAGUGGCCAUUGCUUACUCAGCGGCGAAAGGGAAGCGGGUUGAAAUUCCCGCACACGGAUGUGGAACAGGCGGUGACGCAAAUUACUGGGGCGGUGACGUUUGGCAGUGGCGCUGGGCAGAGUUUUCUUUUCUGUUUAAACCGCCUGACGCUUGCUCUGUGGGAAUCCGAUUGUCGGGAGAAACAGGCAAGGCACGGGUAGAGCGCCGGGCUUUUUCCGGCGUCCAGCUCGCCGCUGACGACCCUUGAAAAACUGUCCUCAGGUAUUAAAAAUCCACGCCGUGGCGUACCGAUAACCGCAUCAGGUCCCCAAGGUGAACAGCCUCUGCUCGAUAUGAAAAAUGCAGGUAAGGGAAGUCGGCAAAUUAGACCCCGUAACUUUGGGAAAAGGGUUGGCUCUAGUGCUGCGUGAGGCCUGGUCGGUGGCUGUGCUGUUGUUUGGUGGCGAACGUUGCCUUGAGCGUUUUUCGCAAGGAGGAUGUUCGGCAAUGUAGCUCUGGACAACCGCGGCCGGCGACGCUCACAGCAUGCAGCAAACUAGAACUGCAACGAGCAAGGGGAAUCCGACUGUUUAAUUUAAAACAAAGCAUUGCGAAGGCCGGGGACGGUGAUUACGCAAUGUGAUUUCUGCUCAGUGCUCUGAAUGUCAAAGUGAAGAGAUUCAAUCAAGCGCGGGUAAACAGCGGGAGUAACUAUGACUCUCUAAGGUAGCCAAAUGCCUCGUCAUCUAAUUAGUGACGCGCAUGAAUGGAUUAACGAGAUUCCUACUGUCCCUAUCUGCUUCUAGCGAAACCACAGCCAGGGGAACGGGCCUGGAAAAAUCGGCGGGGAAAGAAGACCCUGAUUUGAGCUUGUACUCUAUUCUAAUUUUGUGGAGCAAGUUGGGAGGUGUAGCAUAGGGUGGGAGACUUUUACGUCGCCAGUGAAAUACCACUACUCCCAAUCUUGCUUUACUUACUAGGCAGGUGUGGAUGGGGUCAGUUUUUCUGAUUCUUUUUUUUGGAGCCAAGCCGGUUUUUUCUUCGGGAAAGACCAUAGGUGACCACCGCUAGGACAGAUUUAGGAGGGGAGUUUGGCUGGGGCGGUACAUCUUCUACACAGACAACGAAGGUUGUCCUAAAGAUCAGCUCAGUGAGAACAGAAAUCUCACGUAGCGCAAAAGGUAAAAGCUGGUUUGAUUUCGAUUUUCAGUGCGAGUCGAAAACGCGAAAGCGUGGCCUAUCGAUCCUUUCACGAUUCGAGAUUUGAAGCGAGAGGUGUCAGAAAAGUUACCACAGGAUGACUGCUUGUGGCGGCAAGCGUUCAUAGCGACGUCGCUUUUUGAUCCUUCGAUGUCGGCUCUUCCUAUCAUUGCGUCGCAGAAGGCGCAAAGUGUCGGAUUGUUCACCCGCCAACAGGAACGUGAGCUGGGUUUAGACGUCGUGAGACAGGUUAGUUUUAUCCUACCGAUGAAAGGUUGUCGCGGCAGUAACUUAAGGCAGUACGAGAGGAACGCUUAAUUCGGAUCUCUGGCACAUGCAGCUGCGGGAGGCCGCAGUGCUGCGACGCUACCGUCCGAACGAUCAGAAAGGCUGAGAGAGUCUAAGCCUGGAUCGGUUCUGCUCAGCGACGACUCUGAAUUUCUGCACAUGACGGCGCCGUCCGUCUAACCGCGCCACUUUUUUGUUGGCGCGGUCAGCACAUAUCCAACUCUUUGUCUGUUUGUUGCAGAAGUGGAAUAUCUGCAGAUGACCGGAAUGGGACCGGAGUGUGUAAGCGUUGAGUAGUCUUUGUUACUGGCGAUUGGCUGAGCAUGUCCGUUGUUCUUUUCAUUCGUUUUUUUUGAUAUCGGGCUUGGCAUUGAGUUGCCAGUUGAACGAGUCCUGAGACGCGACUAGCGUUAACGAUCGCAAGCGCUGUUUAGGCUCUUCUCCAGUCCCUACUAUUGAAUUACUCUUUUUGGAAGAUCUUGAUGGUCUUGACUGUUUUUU
rnacentral:rRNA from 1 species